GUGCUCACUUCAGCAGCACAUAUACUAAAAUUGCAACAAUACAGAGAAGAUUAGCACAGCCUCUGUGCAAGGAUGACACACAAAUGCAUAAAACAAUCUGCAAACGAAU